rnacentral:lncRNA from 1 species
UGGUGCGAGGAUAGGCAACACUAGAGGUUGGAUGUUCUGCUCGUUCAUCCCGAUGGGUUGACCCACUCGUGUAGUUGGGAUAGAAAUUAGUAAGGCAUCAUCGGCACUCCUCUGUAUGGAAUUGUGAGGAUUUGGGUGGUUGGGAUCUACCUUAAGCUUGCUUGAUGGACUUGUAGGAACUAUAGCAUUAUCAACUCGCGAUUGGGCUGGAUUAUCGAGAACCCCUCCUCCCAACAUAGUCUCCACAUCACCUCAAUCCUAGAGACUUCAGGUUUCACCAUGUUAGAAUUUGGCCUCGUCCU